AUUGAACGCUGGCGGCAGGCCUAACACAUGCAAGUCGAGCGAGCGGCGGACGGGUGAGUAAUGUCUAGGAAACUGCCUGAUGGAGGGGGAUAACUACUGGAAACGGUAGCUAAUAACGCAUACCAUCAGAUGUUCCCAGAUGGGAUUAGCUAGUAGGUGGGGUAACGGCUAACCUAGGCCACGAUCCCUAGCUGGUCUGAGAGGAUGACCAGCCACACUGGAAAUGAGACACGGGCCAGACUCCUACGGGGGGCAGCAGUGGGGAAUAUUGGACAAGGGGAGCAAGCCUGAUGCAGCCAUGCCGCGUGUGUGAAGAAGGCCUUCGGGUUGUAAAGCACUUUCAGCGGGGAGGCGUUACCCGCAGAAGAAGCACCGGCUAACUCCGUGCCAGCAGCCGCGGUAAUAC
rnacentral:rRNA from 1 species